CACUCACUUUCACGUUCAUCUCCAACCCAGCUUGCCAACAAAUCUCUAGUGCUGUCAACAUGCCUCAUUAUUCAGCUUGGAAGGCACGACAAAAGUCCAGAUUCCUUGAAAGACCCAUCAACAACUCCCCUUCCAGUUCCUUACCACCCUACCACAGCCUGCAUUUCCCUCAACAACAUGACUUGCUCUAUCAAUAUUGACAUUCCUCCACCCAUGCUCAGGAGGUACCCAACAGAUAAAACCUUUUAAUGGCUCGUAGUUUAAGCUCUUCAUCUCUUGUGUUGAGCUCCGCAGCCUUCAACUUUUGGUUGGCCUUUGUCUGUCCAGCCAUUCUCUCUUCGGAUCCCCUCUAAGGCACAUGGCUUGUUAGUAGACAAAUACGCUGCAACUGGGUAACAAAAGGUGCCGGUAGAGUGAGGACAAACAAAGUUCAGAAGCUAAAAGUGUGGUUGAACUCACAAAUGGCUCAUCUGGUGAGCAAACUUGGUGGUAGACAAAUAUGCUGCAACUGGGCAUAAAAGGUGCUGGUUCUAGUGAGGACAAUCAAAGUUCAGACGCUAAAAGUGUGGUUGAACUCACAAAUGGCUAUUCUAGUGAGUAAAUUAUACUGUAUUUUCAAAAAGUACAAUGUCGAUGGACAAUUUUAUUUCUCUAUUCAGCUUAUGUAUUUCCUUUUUAAUGAUGGGUUUUGAUGUUUUUUUUGUAUUUCCUAGCAAUCUUUUGUGUUUUUUUUCCCUUUCAAAACAUUCAUAUAUAUGUAGUCGGAGUUGUAAAUAAAUUGUAAAAGCAGUGUUUGUUGAUAUUGAUAUCUCAUUUGUUGCAUUUUGUUCUCCUUGUUAAUAUAUGGGGACUGCCUGGAAUGUUCUUCUCUCAUGGUGCAGUAGAUGGCAAGGAGACAAGUAACAGUGAUGACCCAGAGAAUAAUCCUCAAUAUACUACUGUCUAUAUGGGAAACAUUGCACCGUUUUCAUCAUUUGUAUGUUGGAUUUAGUGCAAACGUUGUUGACCAUCGACAAUUCUGGGGAAUGGUCUGGUAGCUUUUGACGGCAAUACAAUUGACGUUUCAAAGUUCACUUUCAAUAGUUGCAUUGCUGAAAUUUGUACUUUAGCUGUCCCUGAUUUAAUGACUUUCUGUUGGAAUGUCUUUCCUUUUUGACCACUAGGUUGGAAGUGUUGGUAUAGUGUAGGAAGUAGUGUAUUGGGCAUUAGCCCAGGCCCAAGUUUGUGUAGUCAGUGCACACGUGCUUGAGAUCUUGAAUGAACAAUCUGGAAUAUUUUUCUUUUUAGCUAGUCCACUGACAGGAAGUACAAGAAUGACUCGCCUUCCAGGUUCAUCUUUUGUUCUUUUAAUUCAAUAUAUAGGUUAUGUCAAGUUGUUACCUGUCCAUUGAAUUUUGUGACAGUUGUGAUUCUAAUCAUGAACUUUGGCUAUUGUGCAGGUAACCCAGCUUGAUCUCCAUCGCCGCCUCCAUAAUCUUGGGGCUGGUUCGAUAGAGGAGGUUUGAGUCCAGCGUGAUAAAGGGUUUGGUUAUGUGAGGUGCAGUUCUCAUGCUGAAGCAGCAAUGGCUAUUCAGAUGUGGAAUACCCAGUCUUUUCUCUUGGGCAAACAAAUUAAGAAUGUAAGGGUGGUAGGACAGGAUUGCAUAUAUUUUGUCUUAUCAGAGUGAUGGGCCACUAAAAAAUUAAUGGUGCAUCGCGCACUUUUAUCAGGUGGGACAGCGUUGCAUGAAAUAGGCCUAGCAGGCAUCAAAUGAGGAUCCUAGCUAUGUAAUUAUGACAGGUGGCUGGGAGCAGAGCAAGAGAGCGUGCGUAGUGAGAAUGGCUGAGAGGGAUGGUAGGGAAUUUUCCAGGUCAGGAGAGCCUGGCCUCUGAAAAUCUAGGAGUUAUUGCCCUCAUCCUCUCCUCUUUAUAGUUUCCGUUACUUGUGAUGUUUUCUGCUAAUCCAUGCAUUAGCAGAAUCAUUGGUAUUCUGUUUUGAAUGUAAUUCAUUGAUAAGUUCGGGCUCACCAUAAAGCUUGAUUCCCAGCCUAUAUUUGACAGUUUUUUUUCCCCAUCAUAUUGAUGUUUUCAUUAUCUUGAUCUCUAAGGUUAAUGUUUGUGUUGAACUGAAGUAGGUUUAUCUUGUACUGUGUGAGUCAGGAUUGGACUAAUAGCCCAUUUAGUAUAUCUAUAUGUUAGCGGGCACUGGCAUGUGUCUAAUUAGAUUUCUUAUAUUGUGUACCGGUAAGGUCUAGUUGGUUAGGAUUA